rnacentral:ncRNA from 1 species
AUAAAAAUUUAUGAUUUUAAAGAUUUAUUUUUAAUUUAUUUUACAUAUAAAUUUUAGUGUUAAUUUUAUUUUAUUUUAAUAAUAAUAAUGGUUAAUUUAAUAGUAAUUAAAAUUAAAAAUUUAAGAAAUUAAGAUUUAGUAAUAUUAAAAUUAGUAACAAAUUUUGUGCCAGCAGUUGCGGUUAUACAAAAGCUAAAAUAAAUUUUUUUAGUUAAAUAAAAAAUAAAUUUAAAUUUUAAUUAAAUAUUAAAUUAUUAAGUGAAAUUUUAAUUUAAUUAAAAUUAAUAUAAUAUUUAUGAUUUAUUAAAUUUUAUUUUAAACUAGGAUUAGAUACCCUAUUAUUAAAAAUUUAAAUUAAAAUGCUAAAAUAUUAAAUAAUUAAUUAUUGAAACUUAAAUAAUUUGGCGGUAUUUUAGUUCAUUUAGAGGAAUCUGUUUAUUAAUUGAUAUUCCACGAAUGAAUUUACUUAAUUUAUUAUUUUGUAUAUCGUUGUUAAAAAAAUAUUUUUUAAUAAAAAUAAUAUUUUAAAUUUUUUAAAAAAAAUUAAUUCAGAUCAAGAUGCAGAUUAUAAUUAAGAAUAUAAUGGAUUACAAUAAAUUUAUUUAAAUGGAUUUUUUUUUGUAAUAAUUAUUUGAAAGUGGAUUUAAAUGUAAUUUUAUUUAAUUUAAUAAAAUGAUUUAAAAUUAAAAUAUGUACAUAUUGCCCGUCGCUUUCAUUUAAAAAUUGGAAUAAGUCGUAACAAAGUAGAGGUACUGGAAAGUGUUUCUAGAAAGA